UCCGUCGUGGUGUAGUGGCUAGCAUUUGAGACUCUCAUCCUGUGAACUCUCAGAACCCGGGUUCAAUUCCCGGCGACGGAA